rnacentral:sRNA from 1 species
UGAUUAGCUUUGAUAACAAGAGAUAGCUACCUUUCAAAUAUCAUUCGUGCGUACUUCACACUACUCUUCUAGUCCUACCCGUAGCCAAUGCUCUUACAAUCUCACAGAUAGACAAUAACGCGAUCAAUCUUUGCAGAAUGACACUCAGAAGAAUUGGUCAUAUAGAUUGCAAGCUUACCAACUGCAUACACUAUAUCCAGCCUAGUCAUAACGGCAAUGUAGAUACAGGAUCCAAUUCAGUGUUGAUAGUAGUGGGUAUUCUCAGGCAAUGCAGUUCCUUGAUAAGAUGCUAGCAGAAUGCUGAAUAGAGAUGUUGAUACUUUGCAAGCAUAAGCAAGUUGAUAAGUAUUAAUCAAUUUGUUGAUAUAAGCAUCUUGACAAAGUCAUAACUUCUUAGAGCUCUGAUCUCUAGUAAUUCUCAUAUUAAGAAACUGUAACGGGCGUACUACCGAUUAAUGGUUUAAGCACUAUUCUAAUACAGUUUACAAAUUGAUUAAGGAAAGAAAGAGAAAAGAAAUCAAAAGGAAAGAUUGUAUAAAGAGGUUCUUAUAGAAGUGUGAGUGGGGUGGAGGAAUAUUAGAAAAUACACAGAGGAAUCAUUAGAGACUACACAUGCACAGAGCAGAAUCAUGAGAAUUGCACAGAGAAAUCAUUAAAACUACACAUGCACAGAGCAGGAUUGUACACACAUGUGAAUACACAAGAUGAUUGCAUAAGUUAACUACUAACAGAUGCUAAUCUGUCACAUUAUCUCCCUCUAUCAGAGUGAGUGAGGAUUUAUAGACAUCAAGUAUGAUGAUAUCUUUCAUGAUGAAUGCAGGUUUUCAGAUCAGAUGAUUGUAUUCUACUCACUUAAUAAGAUAUUCACAGCAGC